rnacentral:rRNA from 1 species
UACGGGGGGUGCGAGCGUUGUCCGGAAUCACUGGGCGUAAAGGGCGCGUAGGCGGCUUGAUAAGCGUGCGGUGAAAGCCCGGGGCUCAACCCCGGGUCGGCCGUGCGAACUGUCGAGCUGGAGCACUGUAGAGGCAGGUGGAAUUCCGGGUGUAGCGGUGGAAUGCGUAGAGAUCCGGAAGAACACCGGUGGCGAAGGCGGCCUGCUGGGCAGUGGCUGACGCUGAGGCGCGACAGCGUGGGGAGCAAACAGG